UGACAUAAAAUAAGCACAUACACAAUCCACAUAUAAAAUGUCAUAACAGAUAUAGCUGUCCUAUGCAGAAUCCAAAACCAAACUUAUCAACGCUUUAAGUUUUGUAAACCUGAAAAAACGAGCAAUGCCAAUGAAUCAGAAAACUUCAAAUGAAAAGCUCUAACACCACCCAAUUUUUUCGGAACAAACUCAACAAUUCCUUCAAUGGCAGCUAAAACAUUCUCCACAACUUCACCAUUUUCCAUUCCUCCUCUCCCAAUUUUCAAAACACUACAAGUCCCACUCCCUAAACACAACAAAGUCGACGAACAUGCUCUUUCUAUAUUAUUACAGCUGCACGUAUAAUAAACAUAAGUAGAUAAAAUAGAAAAGGAUGAAACAACUGUCCUUUUGAGCACAUGAUGAUUGAAACUCUCACUUUUAUCAUAAAUUGAACCGACUACACUGAUAAGCUACCAAGAAAUAUAACAUUAGAAUUUCCCACUUGAAACAACAUUAGAUCAAAUCAGACAA